rnacentral:rRNA from 1 species
UACGUAGGGACCAAGCGUUGUUCGGAUUUACUGGGCGUAAAGGGCGCGUAGGCGGCCCGCUAAGUCGAACGUGAAAUCCCCGAGCUCAACUCGGGAACUGCGUCCGAUACUGGUGGGCUUGAAUCCGGGAGAGGGAUGCGGAAUUCCAGGUGUAGCGGUGAAAUGCGUAGAUAUCAGGAGGAACAACAGAGGCGAAGGCGGCUCACUGGACCAUUUCUGACGCUGAGGUGCGAAAGCGUGGGGAGCAAACAGG